UUUAUGGAGAGUUUGAUCCUGGCUCAGAGUGAACGCUGGCGGCGUGCCUAAUACAUGCAAGUCGAACGAUGAAGCUUCUAGCUUGCUAGAAUGCUGAUUAGUGGCGCACGGGUGAGUAACGCAUAGGUCAUGUGCCUCUUAGUUUGGGAUAGCCAUUGGAAACGAUGAUUAAUACCAGAUACUCCCUACGGGGGAAAGAUUUAUCGCUAAGAGAUCAGCCUAUGUCCUAUCAGCUUGUUGGUAAGGUAAUGGCUUACCAAGGCUAUGACGGGUAUCCGGCCUGAGAGGGUGAACGGACACACUGGAACUGAGACACGGUCCAGACUCCUACGGGAGGCAGCAGUAGGGAAUAUUGCUCAAUGGGGGAAACCCUGAAGCAGCAACGCCGCGUGGAGGAUGAAGGUUUUAGGAUUGUAAACUCCUUUUGUUAGAGAAGAUAAUGACGGUAUCUAACGAAUAAGCACCGGCUAACUCCGUGCCAGCAGCCGCGGUAAUACGGAGGGUGCAAGCGUUACUCGGAAUCACUGGGCGUAAAGAGCGCGUAGGCGGGAUAGUCAGUCAGGUGUGAAAUCCUAUGGCUUAACCAUAGAACUGCAUUUGAAACUACUAUUCUAGAGUGUGGGAGAGGUAGGUGGAAUUCUUGGUGUAGGGGUAAAAUCCGUAGAGAUCAAGAGGAAUACUCAUUGCGAAGGCGACCUGCUGGAACAUUACUGACGCUGAUUGCGCGAAAGCGUGGGGAGCAAACAGGAUUAGAUACCCUGGUAGUCCACGCCCUAAACGAUGGAUGCUAGUUGUUGGAGGGCUUAGUCUCUCCAGUAAUGCAGCUAACGCAUUAAGCAUCCCGCCUGGGGAGUACGGUCGCAAGAUUAAAACUCAAAGGAAUAGACGGGGACCCGCACAAGCGGUGGAGCAUGUGGUUUAAUUCGAAGAUACACGAAGAACCUUACCUAGGCUUGACAUUGAGAGAAUCCGCUAGAAAUAGUGGAGUGUCUGGCUUGCUAGACCUUGAAAACAGGUGCUGCACGGCUGUCGUCAGCUCGUGUCGUGAGAUGUUGGGUUAAGUCCCGCAACGAGCGCAACCCCCUUUCUUAGUUGCUAACAGGUCAUGCUGAGAACUCUAAGGAUACUGCCUCCGUAAGGAGGAGGAAGGUGGGGACGACGUCAAGUCAUCAUGGCCCUUACGCCUAGGGCUACACACGUGCUACAAUGGGGUGCACAAAGAGAAGCAAUACUGCGAAGUGGAGCCAAUCUUCAAAACACCUCUCAGUUCGGAUUGUAGGCUGCAACUCGCCUGCAUGAAGCUGGAAUCGCUAGUAAUCGCAAAUCAGCCAUGUUGCGGUGAAUACGUUCCCGGGUCUUGUACUCACCGCCCGUCACACCAUGGGAGUUGUGUUUGCCUUAAGUCAGGAUGCUAAAUUGGCUACUGCCCACGGCACACACAGCGACUGGGGUGAAGUCGUAACAAGGUAACCGUAGGUGAACCUGCGGUUGGAUCACCUCCUUUCUAGA
rnacentral:rRNA from 1 species